rnacentral:rRNA from 1 species
GACGAACGCUGGCGGCGUGCCUAAUACAUGCAAGUUGAGCGAUGGAGAUUGGUGCUUGCACCAAUUUGAAGAGCAGCGGACGGGUGAGUAACGCGUGGGGAAUCUGCCUUUGAGCGGGGGACAACAUUGGGAAACGAAUGCUAAUACCGCAUAACAACUUUAAACAUAAGUUUUAAGUUUGAAAGAUGCACUUGCAUCACUCAAAGAUGAUCCCGCGGCUGAUUAACUUGUUGGUGAGGGAAAGGCUCAACCAGGCGAUGAUACAUAGCCGACCUGAGAGGGUGGUCGGGCACAAUGGGACUGGGACACGGGCCCAACUCCUACGGGGAGCAGCAGUAGGGGAACUUCGGGAAUGGACGAAAGGCUGGACGAGCAACGCCGCGUGAGUGAAGGAGGGUUUCGGAUCGUAAAACUCUGUUGGUAGGGAAGAACGUUGGUGGGAGUGGAAAGCUCAUCAAGUGACGGUAACUAACCAGAAAGGGACGGCUAACUACGUG